rnacentral:snRNA from 1 species
CAUUGCCAGAGCAUGGAGAG